GAGUAAUAUGUAGGAACUUACUCAGUAGUGGGGGAUAACAAUUGGAAACGAUUGCUAAUACCGCAUAUUCCCGAGAGGGAAAAGGUACAUUGUAUCGCUAUUGAAAAGGCUUACAUCUGAUUAGCUAGUUGGUGGGGUAAUAGCCUACCAAGGCCAUGAUCAGUAGUUGAUCUGAGAGGAUGAUCGGCCACAUUGGGACUGAGAUACGGCCCAAACUCCUACGGGAGGCAGCAGUAGGGAAUAUUGGACAAUGGACGAAAGUCUGAUCCAGCAAUACCGCGUGAGUGAUGAAGGUGUUAUGCAUCGUAAAGCUCUUUUAACAGAGAAGAUAAUGACUGUAUCUGUAGAAUAAGCACCGACUAACUAUGUGCCAGCAGUCGCGGUAAUACAUGGGGUGCGAGCAUUAUUCGGAAUUACUGGGUGUAAAGGAUGCGUAGAGGGUUUUUUAAGUCAAAUGUUUAAUCUUAGGUUUCAAGCCUAAAACUGCAUUUGAUACUGAAAAACUAGAGUGAGAAAGAGGAUAGUGGAAUUCUUAGUGGAGGGGUUAAAUCCGUAGAUAUUAAGAGGAACGCCAGAAGCGAAAGCGACUAUCUGGGUCUCUACUGACCUUGAGGCAUGAAAGCGUGGGGAGCAAACAGGAUUAGAUACCCUGGUAGUCCACGCCCUAAACGAUGAAUAUUAACUGUUUGAACUUUUAGUUUAAGUGGUAAAGCUAACGCGUUAAAUAUUCCACCUGAGGACUACGGUCGCAAGACUAAAACUUAAAGGAAUUGACGGGGACCCGCACAAGCGGUGGAGCAUGUGGUUUAAUUCGACAGUAAACGAGAAACCUUACCAAUCCUUGACAUGCUUUCUUAAGUCUUCUACUAGAGUAGAAGAUGUGGGCAACCUAGAAAGCACAGGUGAUGCAUGGCCGUCGUCAGCUCGUGCCUUGAGGUGUUAGGUUAAGUCCUUUAACGAGCGCAACCCUUAUCUGUAUUUGCCAGCGAGUCAAGUCGGGAACUAUACGGAGACUGCCUGUGAUAAGCAGGAGGAAGGAAAGGACGACGUCAGGUCAUCAUGUCCCUUAUGUAUUGGGCUACACACAUACUACAAUGGCGUAAACAACGAGUUGCAACAUCGUGAGGUGAAGCUAAUCUCUAAAAUAACGUCUCAGUUCGGAUUGCAGAUUGAAACUCAUCUGCAUGAAGCCGGAAUCGCUAGUAAUCGCAAAUCAUCAAGUUGCGGUGAAUAUGUUCUCGGGUCUUGUACACACU
rnacentral:rRNA from 1 species